rnacentral:rRNA from 1 species
AUUGAACGCUGGCGGCAUGCCUUACACAUGCAAGUCGAACGGCGGCACGGGUGCUUGCACCUGGUGGCGAGUGGCGAACGGGUGAGUAAUACAUCGGAACGUACCUUAUCGUGGGGGAUAACGCAGCGAAAGCUGUGCUAAUACCGCAUACGCCCUGAGGAGGAAAGCGGGGGAUCGCAAGACCUCGCGCGAUUAGAGCGGCCGAUGCCUGAUUAGCUUGUUGGUGGGGUAAAAGCCCACCAAGGCGACGAUCGGUAGCUGGUCUGAGAGGACGAUCAGCCACACUGGGACUGAGACACGGCCCAGACUCCUACGGGAGGCAGCAGUGGGGAAUUUUGGACAAUGGGGGCAACCCUGGUCCAGCAAUGCCGCGUGAGUGAAGAAGGCCUUCGGGUUGUAAAGCUCUUUUGUCAGGGAAGAAACACCGGCUCUAACACAGUCCGGGAAUGACGGUACCUGAAGAAUAAGCACCGGCUAACUACGUGCCAGCAGCCGCGGUAA